GGCGAACGCUGGCGGCGUGCUUAACACAUGCAAGUCGAACGGAAAGGCCCUGCUUUUGUGGGGUGCUUGAGUGGCGAACGGGUGAGUAACACGUGAGUAACCUGCCCUUGACUUUGGGAUAACUCCAGGAAACUGGGGCUAAUACCGGAUAGGAGCUUCUGCUGCACGGUGGGGGUUGGAAAGUUUCGGUGGUUGGGGAUGGUCUCGCGGGUUAUCAGCUUGUUGGUGUGGUAGUGGCGUGCCAAGGCUUUGACGGGUAGCCGGCCUUGGAGGGUGGCCAGCCACAUUGGGACUGAGAUACGCACCAGACUCCUACGGGAGGCAGCAGUCGAGAGUAUUGCACAAUGGGGGGGAGCCUGAGGCAGCGACGCCGCGUGCGUAAUGACGUCCUUCGAGUUGUAAACCGCUUUCGCCGUUGACGAAGCGUGAGUGACGGUAAUGGGUAAAGAAGCACCGGCUAACUACGUG
rnacentral:rRNA from 1 species